rnacentral:tRNA from 1 species
AGAAGUUUAGGAUACAUUAGUCCAAGAGCCUUCAAAGCCCUAAGCAAACAAUCAAGUUUAACUUCUG